GAGAAGUUCACUGAACCUUAUCAUUUAGAGGAAGGAGAAGUCGUAACAAGGUUUCCGUAGGUGAACCUGCGGAAGGAUCAUUGUCGAAACCUUGCCCACCGGAACGACCCGCGAACCAGUUGCGCAAAUACGAGGAGAUCACGGGGGGCCUCGGCCCCCUCAUCUCCGCGAAACAACAACCAAAACCCCCGGCGCGAGUCGCGCCAAGGAAAUCCAACCAGAAGAUCGCCGUCCCAGUCCCCGGAAGGGGGUCAGGGGGCGGCGGGCCUUCGCGUCGAACAAACAAAAACGACUCUCGGCAACGGAUAUCUCGGCUCUCGCAUCGAUGAAGAACGUAGCGAAAUGCGAUACUUGGUGUGAAUUGCAGAAUCCCGGGAACCAUCGAGUCUUUGAACGCAAGUUGCGCCCGAAGCCUUUAGGCCGGGGGCACGUCUGCCUGGGUGUCACGCACCGUCGCCCCAAACCCACCUCCGCCGGAGGGAGUUACGGGGCGGAUGUUGGUCUCCCGUUAGCCGCGCGGCUCGCGGUUGGCCCAAAUUUGCAGUCCUUGGCGGAGGACGCCACGACGAUCGGUGGUUUUGGCCCUCGGACUCGGUCGUGCGCAAAC
rnacentral:rRNA from 1 species